AUGGCUCCUGAGAUGGGUGAGCGGGUGGCCGUCGUGGUGGGAGGGAGCGUAGCGGGCUUGGCCUGCGCGCACGCGGCGGCGGGGGCGGGGUGGAAGGCGGUGGUGUUGGAGAAGGCGGCGGGCCCGGCGGCCGGAGGCGGCACGGGCGCCGGGCUGGGCCUGGAUGCGCAGUCUAUGGAGACCCUCGCCCGCUGGAUCCCCGGGUGGGGUCUCGACGCGGCCACGCUGCCGCUCGCCGUCGACCUGAACAUGGCAACGGACAGCGAGACGAAGGCGGCGCGGACGCUGACGAGGGACGAGGGGUUCAACUUCCGCGCGGCGCACUGGGGCGAGCUGCACCGGCGGCUUCACGAGGCUCCGCCGGCCGCGGUGACCGUGCACUGGGGCCACCAGUUCCUUUCGUUCGAGGUUUCGGACACGGACGGCGAUGGUGGCAAACGCGGCGGGGUAGUCGCGACGGCUCGCGUGCUCAGAACCGGUGAAACGGUGGAGGUCGCUGGGGAUUUGCUGGUCGCAGCGGAUGGCUGCACUUCGUCGAUCCGCCGGCGCUUCCUCCCUGACCUCAAGCUCAGGUACUCCGGGUACUGCGCAUGGCGUGGCGUGUUCGAUUUCACCGGGAAGGAAAGCUCCGACAUCAUCACCGGCAUACGAAGAGCGUACCCAGAGCUCGGCAGCUGCCUGUACUUCGAUCUGGCCGAAAAGACUCACGCCGUGCUCUACGAGUUGCCCGGGAACAGACUGAACUGGCUCUGGUACAUCAACGGCCCAGAGCCAGAGCUCACGGGGAGCUCGGUGACGAUGAAGGUGAGCGACGCCACGCUGGCAGGGAUGCAGGAGGACGCCGAGCGCGUCUGGUCGCCGGAGCUGGCGCGGCUGAUCAGGGAAACGGCAGAACCGUUCGUGAACGUGAUCUACGACGCGGACCCGCUGCCGCGGCUGUCGUGGGCGGGCGGCAGCGUGGCACUGGUCGGCGACGCGGCGCACCCGACCACGCCGCACGGGCUGCGGAGCACCAACAUGUCCGUCCAUGACGCCCGCGUGCUCGGGGAGUGCCUCGGGAGGUGGGGGGAGACGCCGCCGCCACGCGCUCUGGACGAGUACGAGGCCGCGCGGCUGCCGGUCGUGGCGGCGCAGGUGCUGCACGCCCGCAGGCUCGGGCGGCUCAAACAGGGCCUGCCGGUGGAGGACGGUGACACGGGGGCGUUCGACGCGAGGGCGGCGACGGUGGAGGAGGCUUUGCAGCUGCGGCAGAGGGGCAUGCCGUAUUUUGGCGGCGCGCCAACUGUAGAUGGCGGUAGUUUGUGA
rnacentral:rRNA from 1 species